GAGUUUGAUCCUGGCUCAGAACGAACGCUGGCGGCGUGCCUAACACAUGCAAGUCGAACGUGGUCCAGAGCUUGCUCUGGUGAAAGUGGCGCACGGGUGAGUAACGCGUGGAUAACCUACCCUGGUAUCCGGGAUAACAUUCCGAAAGGGGUGCUAAUACCGGAUAAGCCCACGGGCUCUUUGGAGCUUGCGGGAAAAGGUGGCCUCUAUUUAUAAGCUACUGUAUCAGGAUGGGUCCGCGUACCAUUAGCUAGUUGGCGGUGUAACGGACCACCAAGGCGACGAUGGUUAGCUGGUCUGAGAGGAUGAUCAGCCACACUGGAACUGAGACACGGUCCAGACUCCUACGGGAGGCAGCAGUGGGGAAUUUUGCGCAAUGGGGGAAACCCUGACGCAGCAACGCCGCGUGAGUGAUGAAGGCCUUUGGGUCGUAAAGCUCUGUCAGAGGGGAAGAAAUGAUAUAGUGCUAAUACCACUUUAUCUUGACGGUACCCUCAAAGGAAGCACCGGCUAACUCCGUGCCAGCAGCCGCGGUAAUAC
rnacentral:rRNA from 1 species